GAAGCAAUGUGCAACUUGUUGUUUCACACGAAGCCAAAGAUAUCUCGACCGGGAUGCUGUGCCAACCUUAUCAGUAGCUGGAGAUUGCAGAGGCAGAACAACCAGCAGAUGGAGGCAUUCUGGCACCGCCGAAAAGCUUGCACUCCACGUCCCAACUAUCACCUUCUCGAUUUCAAGCUGAAGGCUGUCACCACUGCCAACCAGACGCCCCUUCAAAGUUCAUCUGUUUUUGUUGACGGAACAGUGACAUCUGCACCCGGUACUGAGAAAUUUCAUUUUCUGAUGAAUCAAGUGCAUUGCAUCACUUGUGCUCGACUUCUUUUAUUCGUAUACCCUUGCUGUUGCUCGCUGGUUUACAGCAACCAUGCCUGAGGCGUUUGUGUUCUUACUCCAGUGAUUUCAGUGUGUACAUUUAAGCAGUAUCAUGUGCACGGCAGCAUAUCUUGUGUAUUUUAAAUUUAAAUAUUGGUUCAGUUGUUGUAUUUUCGUCACAAAUAAGGUGUUCUUCCAGAGCCCUCAGUGGUUACAUUCAAGCAGUUUCAUGUGUGCAACAGCACAUACCUUUUCUCAGUUUUGGGUAAGGUAAAUCUACAUCUUCCAGCUGAUGUGUUUCGGUCACAAGUUAUGUUUUUCGAGACGUUUCAGGAUUACAUUCAAGCAGCAUCAUGUGUGCAACAGUACAUUCUUUUUCUCAGGGUUUAAGUAAGGUAAAUCUGUCAGCUGUUAUGUUGCAUUCAAGUGGUGUCAGUAAUACAAAAACUUGUUUUAUGCCUUUCUGUAGCUGCUGUACUAAUAUUGUGAGUACAGACACAUUCCUGCAGAACAUAUCAGAGCACCUUGUGUGCUAUUGUUGGUAUGAUCUGCAGAAGUAUAUUCAUAAUGUUAAUUAUUGAAUGACGUGAGCUAACAUUUACGUUCUUACUUCCACGUCACGCAGGUGCCCUACUCCUCGGUAUGUUUAGUUCAAGAUUGUACCGAAACAAUCCACCUGGAGCAUUAUUUUUUCAACUGGCAGUGGCAUUACUAUCACAACACACCACACACUGCAUGUCUAAGGUGCAUGUACAAUGCAUCAAACUUAUUCUCAGGUGCAGGCGAGCUGGUAUGUACACAAUUACAACGUGAAACAAGCGACACGGUGAUGGUAUAGCCAUUCCUUUUCCUCCGUGCCUCGGGUUUCAAGUUGUUAUCCUCACAUGCAGCUCGUUUCGCCUGUGCUGGGCAGCAUGAGCGAAAGCACAUGUUAUUGUUUUUUAUCACAAGACACGGGACAGAUGCCAUACAGCAUUCUACAUCGUGUAAUCUAACAGUUGUUCAGGUUUGGAUAUUUUAACCGUGGAAUUUGCCCUGCAUGCACCAUACCAUGUCUGAACAUGAACAACUGCUAGACAGCAGGAUGUACCGUUGCCGUAUAGCAUUUAUAGCUUGUGUCCUGUGACUGGAAACGAUGGUAUCUUUUCUGCUACAACCGGUAAACUACAGUAAAUAUUUAGCAAUACUGUGUCAUACCAUAAACCACUAUGGGAAAUGGGAGUUUGAAAGACUGGGGGAGACUCAUUAUAACGGAGGAAAUGUUCUAUGGUGAAAUUUUUUACAUUGUGUACUGCAUCACAUAAUGCACUGCAGGCCCACCACAGUAUGGUAGCGCUCUGAAUACUGAUUUGCUCAAAAACGAAACAUGUGCAUUUCUUGUACAAACUUCGCCUUACGCGAAGUCAUAGAAAAAGUUUUUUUCUAUGACUGUUAGGAGAAAGAAGUAGUUUUUAGACAAUGCGGAGGGAGAGGACAUCAUUUUGGACUCUUGUUGACCUACAGUGUGUUGUGUGAAAGUAAUUUUGAACAGUGUAGGUGGUACAAGACUGUUCCCACAUUCUUUGCAGUGUAGACUAAUAACUAUAAUAAAGUAGAGAAUAUG